AUUGAACGCUGGCGGCAGGCCUAACACAUGCAAGUCGAACGAGUGGCGGACGGGUGAGUAAUGUCUGGGACACUGCCUGAUGGAGGGGGAUAACUACUGGAAACGGUAGAUAAUAACGCAUACCAUCAGAUGUGCCCAGAUGGGAAUAGCUUGUGUGUGGGGUAACGGCCCACCAAGGCGACAACCCCUAGCUGGUCUGAGAGGAUGACCAGCCACACUGGAACUGAGACACGGUCCAGAGUCCUACGGGAGGCAGCAGUGGGGAAGAUGGCACAAUGGGCGCAAUCCUGAUGCAGCCAUUCCGCGUGUAUGAAGACGGCCUUCGGGUUGUAAAGUACUUUCAGCGGGGAGGCGUUACCCGCAGAAGAAGCACCGGCUAACUCCGUGCCAGCAGCCGCGGUAAUAC
rnacentral:rRNA from 1 species